UACGUAGGGUGCAAGCGUUGUCCGGAAUUAUUGGGCGUAAAGAGCUCGUAGGCGGUUUGUCGCGUCGGCUGUGAAAACCCGGGGCUCAACCCCGGGCCUGCAGUCGAUACGGGCAAACUAGAGUGUGGUAGGGGAGACUGGAAUUCCUGGUGUAGCGGUGAAAUGCGCAGAUAUCAGGAGGAACACCGGUGGCGAAGGCGGGUCUCUGGGCCAUAACUGACGCUGAGGAGCGAAAGCGCGGGGAGCGAACAGG
rnacentral:rRNA from 1 species